rnacentral:lncRNA from 1 species
CUCAGCGCGGCGAAGUGCCACUUUCAGCAAAGCUGCACCCGGAAUGCAUUUGGCCGUUUGCAACAGCAGCUCUAAAUCUGAUGGUGACAGCAAACGAUUGCCACGAAGCCAGUUACAACCUUUUUUUCCACUACUGAGCAGAGAAGGAGGUGGAGGGGAGACACUGCUCUGCCCCACUGCCUCAUCCCACUGCUUUGUGGUCUGGUCCCACCAGCUCCUGAGCAACAAGGGAAAGAUGGGUAAAGGUUUUCACUGACUUUCCCUGACAGAACCUCUUUAUUUAGGUAAGUGUUUCUUUGACUCUACCUUUGUUUCGUGGUAUCUCAGCUGCUGUUGCAGGAUGUGUACAUCC